rnacentral:lncRNA from 1 species
AUGGCCGACUCGUCAACUUCUUCAAUGUCUUUCUCAUCUCAAACAAAUCAAAACCCUAAUCCCUCACCCACCAGUCCAUCACCGCCCUCAUGUCUCCCACCACUAUCGUUCGCCGCCAACCCACACCAGCGGAGAAACCGUGACAACUAGAUGAACGGUUGCAUUGGAGCAGACGCAACGACAACUUUUAGGGUUCAUGUGCGCAUCUCCUCGCCGGGAUUCGGUGCAUUUUUGGUCCAGCUUUUCUAAUUAGGCAUAUUUAUGUUACGAGAGGGUAGUUGUAGUUUUGAUGUUGAUGGCUUCCAUCCUCUCAACAUUGGCAAACUUGCUAUGAAAGGCAAAGACACACUCUUUCUUCCCUACACCCCAGAGAACCCACCCUAUAUGGAUGCCCAAAACCGAUCUGCCAUUGACGUCAAGCAAAGCUGCCAAGUGGCGUGCGUGUGCAAAAGAAAGAUUAGAUAUUUACAUAACAUUAAAAGAUCUUUAUAUGUUGAAUCUUAAAUGUUCAUAUCGCGGGGAUUUGUUAUUGUGAAAGAACUUGAGCAACUUGAGCGCCAACUUGAAUUUACUUUGAGUCA